CUUUGCCAUGGUGUCUCAAAAGGAAAACUUUUACAUUGCCUGGCAAAUCUAGUGGUACCCUUUGAUGUUUGCCACAUUUGAUCACAUUACAACCAUAAACUUUAAAUGAAUUUGCAGGGAUGCUAUAUGGAAAGAAGGCCGACAUAAGGCAGUGCAUAACUUAAGAGGAAAGUGAUGGCUUCACGGCAUGGUUUUCAAAUGAAAACCAUGUACUUUAACCUGACCAAAACGUCUGAGUCCAUACACAGGAGAUACAACUGUUUCCUUGUUUGUCUUUCUUUGCUGCGCUCCUCACCUCCUUCUUCUUCUUCUUUUUUUUUUUCUUUUUACGGUGCGGGUGAGGCGGUAACAGAUGGAGAGACAGAGUGCGGGGAUGAUGAGGACGUAAAAUGUGCAACGUUUACUCAUUCGCUUCUUUAUUGUCUUCCGCUGCAGGAGCCGGAGUACCGGAGCGAGCGGAAAACAAACCGUGAUGGAUAGACACGUGCCGGCGUACAGAGGAACCUAUUUGGACUGGCGUGUCAGCCCAUCUUUAUCAAAUGUUGCAGAGAAACCCGCUCCACUGCUGUCUUCACUCCACCUCCCCCGUCUUCCUGCCCAUUUAGCCGCUGCGAGUUGCAGGAUCGGAGCUUUAGAGAGAGCGCGAGAAGCACGGGCCCUUCUCCGCCGGAUGGCCGGGGGAACGCUGCGAUGCUUUGGAGGAGUUUGGAGGGGGUUAGACAUCGAUUCACGCUGCAUGACUGGGGCCGCUAACGAAGCCCCUCCCCUGCCUGCCCCAUCUCAUGACAACCACCUGCCUCGCCGCGCAGCCAUUGGCCGAGCCUCGGCAGUGCCUCUGCCAAUCAAAGCCCCACUGAUGGCCCCUGCUUGAGCAUGACCUCAGGAUGACAUCACUGGAAAGGCAUUAAAGUAAUAAAGGGCUUGCUAGUACAAUACAGUAAAGGGCAGGGCAACGUAAAGCCUCAUCAAUCAGAGCAUACACAGAAUUCAAAUAGAGGCGUCUCACUCUUAGUUGAACGAGAGGUCAUCUCUCCCGGAGCGCCGUCUCCCCUGGAAAAACUUCUCCCUCCCGAGUCUAUCAGUUCUGUCGUAAUGUUUUGAGUAUAUCUGCGCGGCACACCUUGUCGGUAAAAUGGAGACAGGCUGUGUAUGUGUGUGUGAGGGGGGGGAUAGAGGUAUAUUACCACAUAGGAAGGUGGGGAUCAAUAGUAAAUCCUCCUGAGCUGGAGGUAUUUCUCCUGAGAUGUGGGGACUCUUGAGUCUAAUCAAUGAAAACCACGCCGAGCAUCUUGGACUUUAUGAAAGUUUGGACUGAUGGGAAUCCAUUGUGAGAUGAGUUACAGCGGCCAUCAUAAAAAGGAGAGGCGAACUAUCGUCCAAAAUCAAAACAACUCAAAGUCAAUGUUUGCAAAUUUAAAUAUCAGUUACUUGUGUUGGUUAUUUUAUUGUUACCAGAAAAUAUAGUUAGUUAAGAAAUGUUUAGCAUUCUCCUGUCAAAGAGCUUCUCUUGGUUUAGGAUAAAGGCAAAAACACACUACCAACUUUACCAUAACCAUCUAAGAUUAUAAUCUCAAUUGACCUCCGAUCCAGCGGUGGAAAUGAUGGAGGUAGAAAAAAUGCCCUCGAAAGUUUAUCUUUAUUCCAAAAGAAGUUAUAGAAAUGCAAAAAAAAGAAAGAAAAAGUUUUAAAUGAAAAAAGCUGAUUAAAAAAAAUCUGCAAUACUUUGAGCUUUUAAAAAGUGCAUAGAAAAAAAAAGGUUUUAUUACUGCAUAUUGAAAAUCAAGGUCACUGAUGCUACGGGAUCUUGAGUGACAAUAGAGAGUAGACAAUAAAAGAGUAAUAAACAACCGGGGUAAACACACAGAAGCAAGAUUCAAGAUGACUGGCUUUGAUAAACACUGCGCAUGGUGAACGACUUUUCAAAGACUCCAACUUGGAGCAUUUCCCCCCUCUUUUUUGAGGAAUGCAACUUUUACUGGUUUGACUGGACCCAUCGUAAAUCUGUCUGCCGGGCAACCGUUCUACCCAGUUGGGACAAAAGAUAAAGUUGUUUUUGAGAUCCUGGUAAGAUGUACAGUUGAAGGAGUUUGUUUUAAAUGAUCAGUAAACCAACGCAGUAUUUCCAUUUAUGGCUUAGGGGACAAUCAGAAGUAAGACAACUGUGCUGCUUUGAUGGUCAUUUAUAAUCAAACAAAAAAUAAUUAAGAAUGUACAAUAUCAGCCUCGUUUAUGCCUCUGUCCUUGAUCAGACUUUUAUUCAACUCUAAAGAAGUCCCUAAAAGUAAAUGUGACUGGUUGGUAUGUUGGCAGUGUGAAAAUGGCAGAUCUUACUUACAAUUAACUUAAUGACUUCCAAUUUUUCACUGUUUGUCCAGCAAAACUCCGCUGCUGUAUGUAGCAUGAGUUUGACUGGGUUUAAACCAUUGUUUGACUAAUGAAUAAGUCAUCAAAGUUGACUCAAAGAACGAUUUGAUGAGCAGGAGCCACGUUGGAGCCAAACUGGAGGUUCAGUCAGUUCAGCUGCUCAGCUUUGUUGUAGUCACACUGAAGCCACCGCCCACCGUUGUUCGGACCUGGCUGGCCUUUUCCCAAACAACCGUUUGGCUCCAUAAUCCAUGACAGGAGAUGGAGGCAGUAUGGGAUCAAAGGCAAGGCAUGAAACCCUAAAGAAGCCAUAACUCUGGUGUUUAAUUGUGUUUCGAGUAAAUGCCAAAGCACCCCCUUGACCCACCCAGACGUCUGGGGAUCAUCUGCCCUCCGUUUAAUACGGGGUUAUUGUCAUUCUAUCAAACAAAAUCACAUCUGCACCAAAAUAUUUGGAUUCCCGCCAUGCCGAGCACUAAAUUAGGGAACAAAUGUAAACGGGGGAGCCGCUUUAUGACACGCACCGUAAACAUACCGUAAAGGAGAUUGCCAUCGGUACAUUUCUUUAAAAAGCAGCAGAGAAACGUCUGCUGGAUGUCGAAGGCAGAAGUCGGCUCGCUGUAAAAUUGCUUUCUAACUAGAGUGAAACAGAGUGGCUCUUUUGUCUGCCAUAAUUAGGGCCGUAUUCUGCUUUGCAUAAUCGCCUAGAAAGAUUAAAAAGGAAUUCAGAUGAAGCAUUACCAAAACAGUGAUAACGCCACAGGAGGACGUUAUCAAUAUAUCUGCUUCAAAACCUGGAUUUUUACUCUUUUUUUUUUUCUUCUUUUUUCUUGGUCUUAUUUUGACAACCUAUAUAGCUCGUUUAACCUUCAGUGUCUGUUUCUCAAAUGAAAUUGCACCGUGAAGGGAAAAAAGAAAAAGAAAUACUCAUAUUACCGUGAAAAACGAUGGCUUUUCUCUGGAACAAUAAGCAGUCCUUGAACUCCGCGUCAUUAAAGUGAACGCCAUCAUUUCCUUUCAUUAAGAUGACUGUGUGCAGACACAUAUUGCAGUUGGAAAGGCGAAGCUGCGGCAGGAGACUCAUUUAAAAACCGCCCUAAUCUGGAAAAUGAUCCUAAUGUUUCUCAAAUGUUAUAUCCUCCCCAACCUUUUUGGCGCGCGAGACGCUUUAAGAGGGCUGUACGAUUUCCAGGCGUUUAAGCGGAUCGCUCCUUUUGAAAAUAAAUAAAUAAAUAAAAGAUGCACCCUGAGUGCUGCUUUUUUCUGUUUUCACAUAUAUUGCCAAUUUUUCUGACAAUAAAUACUGGGGGGGUGGGGGAGACUGGAUAAAAUUCAUAUCCUUUACUCCUUCGCUGGUAGAUUAUGGGGAUUUCAUGCAAAAGAGGGCCUCUCGUGAAAUUGCGAGCCUCUGCUACUGCUGCUUCUUUGUUGGGUGUCAAAGUAUAGAAAUAGCCGUGCCCUCUCCUGUUUUGCUCAUUUGACUCAACGGGUGUGAAACAGUCCCUCAUAUCCCUGUCUUGUCUAUAAGAAAUGAAAUGACUUUAAGACUGCGCAGCGUUGCCACAGGCAGGUCGGCUGAAAGGCUAUUUCAGGAGAAAUGGACAUGGACAUAAAUAUCCUCGCGGGGCGCUUUGUAAUAAAAAAGGAAAAGGAAACACA